rnacentral:rRNA from 1 species
CGAUGUUACACGAAGAACCGUUACCUGGGUUUGACAUGCUAGUGGUAAUGAAGCGAAAGCUAAGUGACCGCAAGGAGCUAGCACAGGUGCUGCAUGGCUGUCGUCAGCUCGUGUCGUGAGAUGUCGGAUUAAGUUCCGCGACGAGCGCAACCCUCGUGGUAUGUUGCCAGCAGUUCGGCUGGGCACUCAUACCAGACUGCCGCAGCAAUGUGGAGGAAGGUGGGGAUGACGUCAAGUCAGCAUGCCCCGUACGCCCUGGGCUACACACAUACUACAAUGCAGAGUGCAGACGGAUGCCAAGCCGUGAGGUGGAGCUAAUCCGCGAAGGCUCUGCUCAGUGCAGAUUGCAGGCUGCAACUCGCCUGCAUGAAGGCGGAAUCGCUAGUAACCGUCGGUCAGCAUUACGACGGUGAAUACGUUCCCGGGCCUU